rnacentral:lncRNA from 10 species
GCUUCAUAGACGCCGCGUGUACCCGGUUGUCCUCAGGCGCUGUCAGCGCUUUGUAGCCCAGGCUGGAGUGCUGGUGGCACAGAUCGUGGCUCACUGCAGCCCAGAACUCAGGGCUCAAGAGAUCUUUCCACCUUAGUCUUAGUCUCCUAAGUACCAGAUACUACAGGAGAUUUUGGACUCUCUGCAGACUGUCCCUGGAUCUUGGGUUAAAAAUCUGUAUUCUAGACUGAACCGUGGGAAGAAAAAAUAGUCAAUCUGUGGUUUUUCUACUUGAAGGACACAAUGUUUUCCAAACUAGCACAUUUGCAGAGGUUUGCUGUACUUAGUCGCGGAGUUCAUUCUUCAGUGGCUUCUGCUACAUCUGUUGCAACUAAAAAAACAGUCCAAGGCCCUCCAACCUCUGAUGACAUUUUUGAAAGGGAAUAUAAGUAUGGUGCACACAACUACCAUCCUUUACCUGUAGCCCUGGAGAGAGGAAAAGGUAUUUACUUAUGGGAUGUAGAAGGCAGAAAAUAUUUUGACUUCCUGAGUUCUUACAGUGCUGUCAACCAAGGGCAUUGUCACCCCAAGAUUGUGAAUGCUCUGAAGAGUCAAGUGGACAAAUUGACCUUAACAUCUAGAGCUU